rnacentral:rRNA from 1 species
AGAGUUUGAUCCUGGCUCAGGACGAACGCUGGCGGCACGCUUAACACAUGCAAGUCGAACGAGAGAAGAGGAGCUUGCUUUUCUGAUCUAGUGGCGGACGGGUGAGUAACACGUGAGCAAUCUGCCUUUCAGAGGGGGAUACCGAUUGGAAACGAUCGUUAAUACCGCAUAACAUAAUUGAACCGCAUGAUUUGAUUAUCAAAGAUUUAUCGCUGAAAGAUGAGCUCGCGUCUGAUUAGCUAGUUGGUAAGGUAACGGCUUACCAAGGCGACGAUCAGUAGCCGGACUGAGAGGUUGAUCGGCCACAUUGGGACUGAGACACGGCCCAGACUCCUACGGGAGGCAGCAGUGGGGAAUAUUGCACAAUGGAGGAAACUCUGAUGCAGCGAUGCCGCGUGAGGGAAGAAGGUUUUAGGAUUGUAAACCUCUGUCUUCAGGGACGAAAAAAGACGGUACCUGAGGAGGAAGCUCCGGCUAACUACGUGCCAGCAGCCGCGGUAAUACGUAGGGAGCGAGCGUUGUCCGGAAUUACUGGGUGUAAAGGGAGCGUAGGCGGGAUCGCAAGUCAGAUGUGAAAACUAUGGGCUUAACCCAUAAACUGCAUUUGAAACUGUGGUUCUUGAGUGAAGUAGAGGUAAGCGGAAUUCCUAGUGUAGCGGUGAAAUGCGUAGAUAUUAGGAGGAACAUCAGUGGCGAAGGCGGCUUACUGGGCUUUAACUGACGCUGAGGCUCGAAAGCGUGGGGAGCAAACAGGAUUAGAUACCCUGGUAGUCCACGCCGUAAACGAUGAUUACUAGGUGUGGGGGGACUGACCCCUUCCGUGCCGCAGCAAACGCAAUAAGUAAUCCACCUGGGGAGUACGACCGCAAGGUUGAAACUCAAAGGAAUUGACGGGGGCCCGCACAAGCAGUGGAGUAUGUGGAUUAAUUCGAAGCAACGCGAAGAACCUUACCAGGUCUUGACAUCGUAUGCAUAGCUCAGAGAUGAGUGAAAUCUCUUCGGAGACAUAUAGACAGGUGGUGCAUGGUUGUCGUCAGCUCGUGUCGUGAGAUGUUGGGUUAAGUCCCGCAACGAGCGCAACCCUUACUGUUAGUUGCUACGCAGGAGCACUCUAACAGGACUGCCGUUGACAAAACGGAGGAAGGUGGGGAUGACGUCAAAUCAUCAUACCCCUUAUGACCUGGGCCUCACACGUACUACAAUGGCUGUCAACAGAGGGAAGCAAAGCCGCGAGGUGGAGCGAACCCCUAAAAGCAGUCUUAGUUCGGAUUGUAGGCUGCAACCCGCCUACAUGAAGUCGGAAUUGCUAGUAAUCGCAGAUCAGCAUGCUGCGGUGAAUACGUUCCCGGGCCUUGUACACACCGCCCGUCACGCCAUGGGAGUCGGUAACACCCGAAGCCUGUAGUCUAACCGCAAGGAGGACGCAGUCGAAGGUGGGAUUGAUGACUGGGGUGAAGUCGUAACAAGGUA